AAAUUCCUGCGGUGUGCGUGAAACGGGUAAUGUCUUGAGCCAACGUCCUUAUCCCGCGGGGGAUUGCUCCGUACCGGUGGAUGCGGCUUUUUGCCGCUCAAACCAAGGCUCGGGAAUCCCCCAUCCUUUUAGGAGCGGGUCAAGACACUCCGUUCACGGCAUUGCGGGUUUUAU
rnacentral:other from 1 species